AUCAGCACUGAACACAGGCCACUCACCAUGGAGUUAGCACUGAGCUGGCUUUUCUUUGUUGCUAUUUUUAAAGGUGUCCAGUGUGAGGUGCAGCUGGUGGAGUCUGGGGGAGGCUUGGUGCAGCCUGGAGGGGCUCUGAAACUCUUGUGUGCAGCCUCUGGAUUCACCUUCAGUAGCUAUGGCAUGAGCUGGGUCCACCAGGCUCCAGGAAAGGGGCUGGAGUUCAUUGCAGCAAUUAGCAGUGGUGGUAGCACAUACUACCUAGACUCUGUGAAGGGCCGAUUCACCAUCUCCAGAGACUAUAUCAAGAACAAGCUGUAUCUGCAAAUGAACAGCCUGAGAGCAAAGGACACCGCCGUGUAUUACUGUGCAAGAGACACAGUGAGGAGACUUCAGUGUGAGCCCAUAAAUCACUCUGCAGUUCUAUUUGUCACCAGCAGGGGGAGGCUGGAGGAAAAGCCUGGAGGGAUCUCUCAGUCCCCACAGCCCAAAGUCCUCCUGCUGUCCUCUGUGCAAGGACUCUUGCGAGAAAUGAACAUGGUCAUUAUUAACCUGUGA